rnacentral:misc_RNA from 1 species
UUCAAUCAUUCGUUUUCAAUCAGACGCCCACAGCAUACAUGCAUAAAUUCGACGGACGCGAUGCCGCCGAACCACAGUUUUCAUCCACUAGUUUGAAGUUCGAAGGCACGCAAUCGGCCAUUCGUUAAUGAUCCCUCCGCAGGUUCACCUACGGAGA